UCCAGAGUGGGUCCAGGGAUCUCUGGUUAAAAUGUUCCACAUAUGAUUCUGAUGGUGAGCCACAAUUGGAGACAUUUGGUCUACUUAAGAUAAACUGUUUCAAGAACCUCCCAGCAGUUUGGGAAGACUUAAUUCCAUGGAAAUGGAACUGCUUCUAUGUGUGCAAAGUUUCCCAAGAAAACAGAGGAAGUCAGCUUAUAAAUAAUCAUUCAUAAGCAAGUUGAAAAGGACCCUGAAAACCUGAGGCUGACUGGUCUACUUGGACACCUAGAAAAUACAAAAUAGACUCACCAGAGACGGUGAAAUAAUCUAUCCAAUUGGGGGCCUGGGGCCUGGAAUGGGAGCUCCUGACUCACUAACCACAUAUACUUUUAAAAUUUCUUUCCUUUUCCUUUUUUUGUUGUG
rnacentral:lncRNA from 1 species